rnacentral:piRNA from 1 species
GGCAGCCUUGUUGGUUUGGGCCUCUC